GCGACCCCCGGUCAGGCGGAGUAGCCCUUUU
rnacentral:rRNA from 1 species